GGAGAAUAAACGGACAUCGGUUAUAUGGGACCAGGAAGCGGGGCGCUACGUGUCACUGCCAGCAACUACUUCACGGGUUACCUUACCAAAUCCUUCUACCGAAACAAGCACGUUUGGAGCCAGGCCGAACUCUCAGUAUCCGAGUACCUCAGUAGUGACUCCAGUGCAGCAGCAACCAGAGAGACUUACCUAUACAGGACAGUCGAUAUUCUUCGGAGGACCGCUUCUAAAUGCUCCGGUUAGGGGCGGUCAGAGAAAUGAGGGCGCCACUAGAGCAAGAGCGGAAGUCGAGAGGGAUUCUAAUCUUCAAGUACAAAGAGAAAGAGGGGAGAGCGG
rnacentral:misc_RNA from 1 species